ACUAGGCUGACCUCUAUUAUAAGCAUAAUUCUGAUAGUAGGGCCUAUUCUGAAAGUUUUACGUCAGAGAAAUUUGAGUCUGAGUGUGAGUCUGUUGGGAUCUCCAAAAAAAUUUGAGUGGUUCCUCCAGCCUGAAUUAUAUGUGUUAGAGAAUGGAUCAUUGAUAGGCUUGGAGUAACCUUGGGUAGCUUGAAUUUGUUCUUGGAUGAAAGAUGGAAACUGUACAGUCGUGGGACAUUCACUUAUAUGAUGGGCUGGACUAACAGAGAUAGAACAAAUCUUUUGAUAAUUGAAAGGUGGUGUGUAUUGCACAGG
rnacentral:lncRNA from 1 species